AAACUUUCAACAACGGAUCUCUUGGUUCUGGCAUCGAUGAAGAACGCAGCGAAAUGCGAUAAGUAAUGUGAAUUGCAGAAUUCAGUGAAUCAUCGAAUCUUUGAACG
rnacentral:rRNA from 2 species